rnacentral:rRNA from 1 species
UACAGAGGGUGCGAGCGUUGUCCGGAAUCACUGGGCGUAAAGGGCGCGUAGGCGGUCUGGUAAGCGUGUGGUGAAAGCUCGGGGCUCAACCCCGAGUCGGCCGUGCGAACUGCGAGACUGGAGCAGAUCAGAGGCAGGCGGAAUUCCGGGUGUAGCGGUGGAAUGCGUAGAGAUCCGGAAGAACACCGGUGGCGAAGGCGGCCUGCUGGGAUCUUGCUGACGCUGAGGCGCGACAGCGGUGGGGAGCAAACAGG